AUUUGAGAUAUUUGCUGUUUUCAGUUAAUCAAAAUCAAGGGUUCAAAUUUUCCAACAGCGCCAAUAUGUGGCAGUGUCUUUUUAAGCACCACAUUUUCUUCAGAAAAUAUUCAAAUACAGUUAAAAUUAGGAUUUACAAAUUUCAUGUCAUGUAACAGUUUACAUUUUGUGUGUGUACAGCUCAUUAAAAUUAAAUGAAUUUGUUUUUUAGGGAUGAGUUCAUUCAGCUAUUGCUUACCAUCGGCAUCUAAAUUCAGAGCAUCUAAACAAGCUAAGCCUAAAUCACUGCUGGGGAAACUGGGUCAAGCCCUGUCUCGUAAUCAUG